rnacentral:lncRNA from 1 species
UGGGCCUCCAUCGACAGCAGCAGAGCCAUAUACCUGCCUCUCAUCUGUCCCUGUCAAGUCGAUGUCAACUGUCCUUCCCAAGAGCUGGCGGCCCCUCAGGAUGUCACCAGGCUGCCUGCUGCCCUAGCUCAGGUCCCCACAAGCAGUCUCAGGAAAUGCACAUGGCUCUGGACCAGAAAUACCAGUAAGGGUUACUCUGUCUGAAAUGCAACAGGAUGAUUGGGAGACCGGAAAAAAGAGCUCCUUGAGAAAAGAGCACCAAAGCGAUGUGACACCAC